UGAUCUCUGGUAUAAGGUGAAGAUUGAUGAAGUAUCAGUCUGGGUUUUUUGCAUAAAUCAGAAUGUGAUCAGGCUCUGAAGAUUAAAAGAAGUCAGGUUGCUGAAACAUAGAAGUUGCAGGUUCUGUAAAUGUCUGAGACGACUUAUACCGAAGUGAUCAUGGUAUUUUCUCUACCGAAAAUUCUGAGAAACUAGUGCUUGCUGAAGUUUCUCAAAGUAAAUCACUUCAGAAGCAUGUGCAACUGGUUUAAAGUCCUAGAGAAGGCUGAAGCAGAAACAUGUUUCUGAACUGUUUUCUGAGACAGAAACUUGAGAAGUGUUAAGUUGUCUGUGUGCAUCAGGAGGAAGUGUAAAUCUUCUCAGUAAGAAAGACACUUGCAGGAUUAACAAGUGUGGAGCCUAAGUGUGAAGAACACUAGAGGAAAAGUUGUUGAGCCAAGAAGAGUAUUCGGUUCAGCUGUGAGAAGAUCUAUGAUGCAAGUGCCAAAUUUUUGGUGGAGUUUACACAUUAUUAAAUGUGUUGCAGGUCUGGUACAGCAGGGGAAACACAUCAUGGGCUUGAUAUUGAUGUGAAAGAUGCUGUAAAGAAAGUAUCUCUUGAGUAUCUCAGGCUCUUAUGAUGAGAGAUAUGGUUAAAGAGUACAAGGAGUGAAUAUCGAGCUGCUGGUACUGUCUUGUUUACUCAGGGAAUUGGAAAGGGAACUAGGGUCGAAAGUACUCACAGCAAGGUGGAGCUAUGAGGCAUGAUCUGUUGAGUUUCAACAGCGGUUCAAGUUCAGGUUUCAAGGUCGAGUUGGCUAGGCAGAGGCUGGUUGAAUCAAGGGUUGAUUCAGGGAAGAAACUUGUAUGUUUCUGGUUUUCUGCAAGAGAUUUCAGUAGUAUUUUUGAUUAUGAUCUCAGGUGCUUUUGAGGUGAAUCAAAUGGGUCUACAGAGGAAUCAGGUUGCAGGAUCAAAAUGGUUUGUUUGGACAGAGAUUGAGCAGAGAUCUUGUAUCGAAAGUCUUCUUAACCGGGUUGUGUUAAGCGGCGUGUUCUGUUGGCGACAGCAGCGGUGCAGAGUGGUGUUCAAGUCAGUGUUUUCAUUCAGAUGGUUGUAAGGGAAAUCUCAGGUUAAACAGUGGGUCUUUACCGGCUGUUGAGGUUGGUUUCAAGGUUUGAGUCAUGGAGCUUCUGGUUUGAGGCAUAAGUGGUUCAGGUUCUGAAAUAGUUUCAAGCUAGCAUCGGCAUAUCAGUUUUGGCAGAAGGUUGACGAUAUUAAAGUGCAGUAACAGGUCAAGCAUGAAGUAAGCUGAAGCUUAUGGAUUGUGUUGAGUUACUGAUGAAUGGUCGUCUCAAGUUUCCGGUUUUAUAGAAACUGCCAAAAGAGGAUCAAUGAAGAAGUUGAGCUUAACACAAGGCUGUGUUAAAGCGGUUUAUCAACUUAAGAAGACAGUGCUCAGGAAUGAAAAAGUGAUUAACAUCACAGCCAUGGCUUGUGAGUUUCAUGUCUGGUUCAUUGAUGGUGAUUGAUUGUAUGAAGACAAGCUAUUGAGGUGGAGCUUCGGGUAAGAGGUUCAAAAAAAAAAAAAAACAGUGGCAAGGAAGUCUUCAGGUUGUAUCAAGAUGGAUACGGGUUGAGAUGCUUGUAGGAAACUAAUUUCAGGAAGUAUUGAAGUUGAGCAGUGAUGCUCAAAGAUGGAUGAAGUUGAAUAUGCUUUAUUCAAAGCUAUAUGAAGCUUAGAAGAUGCAAGAAUCUGCAGGGAGUUGCAGAGGAUGAACAAGUUUGCUCAAGCACAGGAAGAAAGCUCAAGACGUGAUAGCAGUUUGAAGAAGAUCGAUGACAAGGUGGAGAUUUGUAGAGGUUUGUGUCAUCUGAUCUCUUGAUGAUGCCAAGUCUCAUAAAGUCUCUAUGCCAAGGAGAAGGUUUCACUUAAGUUGAGCAUGUGAAAUACACGUGAGCUGGAUUCUUUGAUUAAAUGGAAGCAAGGUCAAAAGUGUAAUUGAUCAGGAGCUGAAGGGAUUAACUUCAUCGUCAUCAUCUUCACGGAAGUUACGACGUUAAGCGUCUGUAACAGAAUCGAAGAAGAGAAGAGCUUGAGCUCGAGAUCGGAGUGAGCGAGAGCUCAGGAGGAGAGCGUGAGCUCGAGUCCGUGAGAGAGAGAGAGAUCGUGAGUGAGAGAGAGCUAGUAAGGGAAGGAGUUUCUCUGUGUAUCUAGCUAAGCUCAUCUUCUUGUUUCUUCUUUCAAGAUCAUACUCUUAUCUCUUGGUGAUUGUAACAGAGAUAGAGAGGAAGAAGAUCUCCUGUGAUUGUACUCUUCUCAGUUUCAUCUAUUGGAAAGGUUGAGAGACCUAAUUCUCUCUCCGGUGAGUAUAGCGGCUUCUCCACAUCGGAGAAGUGCGGUGAACACCAGGUUACCAAAAACUCUUGUGUUGUUUACUUUCUCGCUUGAUUCGAUUCCACACUGCGAUUGAUUGUUUCCGCUA